GAAUCUAUGAGCGAAGACGAGACGGAUAAAAACGAGAAUGAAGACACGGGACCAACAACGGAAUGCUCUGUGAAGCCAGGAGUGAUGCGAGCAAGGGUCGGAAGAGAAAAUGGUCAAAAGUAUGGGAUACUUUUGAUUACUUCGCAGGUGCUGAAGUCUCCAUGGCAAUCAAACUGCUCUUGCUCUUAGUGAAGGCUGGAUAAAAACUACUCCUGCUCUGGCUUAAUUUAUCCUUUAAUUUAUGUACUUUGCUAAUGUUUAAGCUAGAAUUUGAACAAUAUUUGUAAGAUUUUAAAAUUUCGUGUACUAAUUCGUUACCAGUUUCAUGUUUAUUUCGUGUAUAAUUCGUGUUUUCGUU